AGUCCAAAUAGACAAGUCCACAGCUCUGAAAUAGUAGUGGAGUAGUGAGUGUGAAAUACCACUGCUCUGGUUGUUUUUUCACUUUAGCUGGUGAGGUGGGAGGGCAAGCAAUAAGGGGGCUCUUGCUUCUGGUGCCAACCAUGACCUGCUCCAAGGACAGCACCAGGUAGGGACUUUGACUGAGGCAGUACACCCGUCAAAGCAUAAUGCAGGUGUCCUAAGGUGAGCUCAGGGAGGAUGGAAACCUCCCGCAGAGCAGAAGGGCAAAAGCUCGCUUGAUCUUGAUUUUCAGUACAAAUACAGACCGUGAAAGCGGGACCUCA
rnacentral:ncRNA from 1 species